UACGUAGGGUGCGAGCGUUAAUCGGAAUUACUGGGCGUAAAGCGUGCGCAGGCGGUUAUGUAAGACAGGUGUGAAAUCCCCGGGCUUAACCUGGGAACUGCAUUUGUGACUGCAUAGCUAGAGUACGGUAGAGGGGGAUGGAAUUCCGCGUGUAGCAGUGAAAUGCGUAGAUAUGCGGAGGAACACCGAUGGCGAAGGCAAUCCCCUGGACCUGUACUGACGCUCAUGCACGAAAGCGUGGGGAGCAAACAGGAUUAGAUACCCCUGUAGUCC
rnacentral:rRNA from 1 species